rnacentral:rRNA from 1 species
UACGUAGGUGGCAAGCGUUAUCCGGAUUUAUUGGGCGUAAAGGGAACGCAGGCGGUCUUUUAAGUCUGAUGUGAAAGCCUUCGGCUUAACCGGAGUAGUGCAUUGGAAACUGGGAGACUUGAGUGCAGAAGAGGAGAGUGGAACUCCAUGUGUAGCGGUGAAAUGCGUAGAUUUAUGGAAGAACACCAGUGGCGAAAGCGGCUCUCUGGUCUGUAACUGACGCUGAGGUUCGAAAGCGUGGGUAGCAAACAGG